GUCGCCAGCGUUGCGUGCCCUCGCGAAAUAGGGGUUGAAAUCUCUCGCCGUCGCGGUAGCCGCAGUAGCGAUCGUCGCGUGUGAAUUAUUCAGUGCGAUUGGGACUCUUUCAAUACGCCCCCACGGUAGAGGUUGAUUUAUUUUGAUCGAAGAGGAGUCAGGGGGGUUGAUUGGUUACGAGGUAGGGCGGAUUUUCAUUUUGAAUUACUGUACGGGCUUGUUGCCGGUAUGGAACUUUGACGUGUUUCAAGCUUCGUCCGUGCUGGACUCGUCAGAAUAAUUCUCGGGACUUGGCGCACAAAAUCACGUGAAAUUAAGACGCCGAUUUCCCACGGGAGUAGUCCGCAAUUUGAGCAUUCCCCGACGUACAAAGAACAUCGCCGAAUUUUAAUGGACGUUCCCCUGAAAUAAAUCGGACCCGAUGAAGCUUCAACGGUUUUGCAGGCAUAAAACUUUAAGAAUGGGCGCAGCCGACCGCGACCUGGAUAACUGGAGAGGAGAUUGACGCGUUGGAGUAAACGAAGGACAUAAUGGAGAAGGAUUCAGGACAUUUCUGCUACGAGCCGUAUCCAGGAGUAACCAAAACUAACCCCAGCAACACGAACUCGCUCAAGCGCGAGAAAACGACCAAAGGUUCUCCAACGACUCCACCGUCCUCUCGUUCUUCCUGCAGCUGCAUCGGCAAGAAAACCAAGAAGCGAGGCAAAGCGUUCUUCGCGGGGCUGGCGACAAAUGUGGGCAUCUGCGUCCUACUGUUCGGUUAUACCCUUAUAGGGUCGGUCAUCUUCCUCGCUAUUGAAGGUGGCAGCAGUUACCAACACCAGAUACUGGCGACGACUUCGCUGGCCGCCAACAACAAGAAGUACGCCAAUCAGAGUACGGAACUGAAAGCCAAAAACGACAAGGCGAGAACGAAAACCGUCGAGAACUUGUGGAUCAUUACCGAGGGCCUUAACAUUUUGUAUAAAGAAAACUGGACAAUAUUAGCUGCUCAAGAAAUAACCAGGUUUCAGGACGAACUGCUGAAGUCGAUGAAGGAGGAAAUGGGCCAUCAGCAGCCUCUCAGGGUGGCGAAAGUCAAGGGCAGAGGUGGGGAGAACUACGAAUGGACUUUUGCAAAGGCGUUCCUCUAUUCCCUGACCGUCCUUACCACGAUAGGUUACGGUAGCAUAGCACCGAAAACGAAUCUGGGAAAAACCGUCACCAUGGGCUACGCGAUGCUGGGCAUACCGCUCACCCUACUUUACCUUUCUAGCGUAGGUACUAUACUCAGCCGUGUGGCCAGAGGCGUGUUUUCUAGAGCGCUAUGCUGCUGCUUGUGCUCCAACUGCGGCUACUGCUGCUACGACGAAAAACGCAUGGCUGAAAAAGAGCGCCGGAUGAAACGAAAACGCCAGCAACUCGAGCUACAACAGCAGCUUGGACUACAAGAACCGUUCUACGUCAGAUCCAACUCGAGCUAUAGCAACAGCGUGCACUCCCCGUGUCGGGACAGCAACGGCAAAGAAAUGGACAGUCUGAGCGGUACCGAUAACGAAUCCAAAUCGUCGAUACAUGGCUGGGGAAUUUUGGCGCCCAUUCUCCUCUGUCUGGUGAUGAUGUUUAUCUACAUCUGUAUAGGGACGUUCGUGUUGUACAAAUUGGAAAAUUGGUCGCUUUUGGAUGGGUUCUACUUCUGUUUUAUGAGCCUGACGACCAUCGGGUUCGGAAAUAUGGUACCCGGAUCGGAUCCGUUUCCCGAGCACGAUUCUAGCACGACCAUGUGGUUCUGCUCGAUCUACAUAAUGUCCGGUAUGGCACUGACCGCCAUGUCGUUUAACGUGGUACACGACGAAAUAGUACAUAGGUUGAAGCAUCAAGAGAAAACUGUGCCCAAAAUGAACUCAACAAGCUUCCCGGACGAUCUGAACAUCAACGACCCGUACAAUAUGACUUCAUGACAGUUUAACCCCCACAAAAACUCCAGCUUCUAUCACAGGAACCUCACGGAAGAGACCCUACUUAGUACUGGCACUCCGACUUCAAUUAUAGAGAUGAGUCAUGAGAUGAUACCGAUUAAUUUGAAUUCCAAAAUGCCGGAAGUGGUGGAAGGCAGUGUAAUUAUGACCGGUGUUUACACGCUGCCAGAGGAGCCCGAAAACGAAGAUGUAUCGGAAGGGAACACGGAAAUGUGAAGCGAUCGUUAGUCACUAGGCAAACAUUAUUUUUUUAUCUCCAGUUUUCUUAUACAUAACAUGUAUUCCGCGAAAUUCUAAAUUACUGGUUGCGUUAUUUAAGAUUGAUUUACAAACAUAUCAUUGUAGCGCGAUUUUUUUCACACGGUUGUUAAAUAUAAAUUAGCGUAAAAACGAAUGUGUAAAUUUUGUAAAUAAUUAUUGACCUACCCUGGUAAUUCAAUUUAAACGUUCGCGUGUAAUUAUCAUCAUCAUUGCAAGUGGAUUUUGGGAUUUUGCGCAUUACGGUUUAGCGACGAGCUCGGUCGGUAUCGACCAGAGAUCAAACGAACUACGCCAAAAAAAUAAAAUCGCCCUUUUCUGUCCUCGUUGCGGCUAAUUCACAGGGUAUUUUGUAAUUCGUCGCUAAAUCCUAUCACGUUGAUUUCGCGGUUCAUCGUUUUCUGUUCCUCUGUAUUACUGUCGACGAACAUGUUUUAAUGUUUCCAAGGAAUAUUUAUCGCGAUAAAAUAAACGGUCGUUGGUAUAAAUGUUGACGUUUGUAUAAAAGUAAAUUAAAUAAAAAUUCCAA